rnacentral:pre_miRNA from 1 species
UUUCUACUCCCUCCGUCCGAAAAUACUUGUCAUCAAAAUGGAUAAAAGAGAUGUAUCUAAAACUAAAAUACGUCUAGAUACAUUUCCUUUUAUCCAUUUUGAUGACAAGUAUUUCUGGACGGAGGGAGUAUUUG